UGUGAUGACGUUAACAGCAAAGCUGAGUGGCUCCCUCUUCUCACGUGAUCUUAAAACAGGACACUGCCCUUGGCUACGCCGUGCUCAGCAGCCAUAUUACAUUUGGGCAGCUUAGGUACCUGCCCCCAUAUUGAAUAAGGGCAAAGAAGCCAUCUUUAAUUCGGCCGUGGACACUUCUGGAAAACGUCUUGCCUGGGAGCGAGGGAACCAUUGACAGGAUCUGGGGCGUUAGCAGCCAUCUUACAAGAGGGCAUGUCUCGCUAUUAGCAGCCAUCUUCAAUGUGCAGAUGGCAUUAGCUGUGUGAAAAUAAAUACGAGGAAGGCUUUAAAAAGUUAACUUUCCCUUCAAGGAGCACAAUAGUCCAUCUUGUUCUCUUGGCUAGGUGUACCAUGGAAAAAUUCAGCUGGUGAAGGAGCCUGGAAGAUGGAGGUGGGCUGUGAUAUUUUCUGCAUCUUUUCAGCAAUAGUCAUGGUUGUGUCCUUUUGCAGCAUCCAGUUUACAUCUUGAAGGCUAUCUCCCCAAGGAAAAAGAUCUCCAUAAAAUCAUCUUGGUUAAAGCACAAAUACUUAUGGGUCUAGAGGACACGUUACAUGGAAAAGAGGCACAGGCUGUUAUUCACGAACACUUAACAUACUCAGUCUUGAUGGUUUUACUUUGUCAGCCUGGAUGAUGUCACCUGGAUGAGAGAAGUGGACUUGGAGUGGAUGACACCUAGCAAGGAGCAUGGGAGAGAACAGGAGAAAAUUAUGGCAUCUCGGCUUAUCAAAAUGAGAACAGUGGUGUGCAUACGAGACAGUGCUGCAAGUCAAAGAAACACCAGUUUAUGAUAAAGAGAAGCACACAAUGGACUCCAGGUAUGAAACCUUCCCCACUGUCCUCUAGUGUGCCUCAACCUUGUAUUGGAAGGACCACUGUAGCUAUCAGGAUAACAGACUGUUGUCACAGUCCCAGGACAACACUCAACUUGACACCAGGAUGACAAUAAACCUUAGUUAACAGAAGCACGCAAGUGAACAGAAGUUCAUCAGGAUUUUCUUCAACCCUCUUGCAAAGACCUUAGUAAAGCCUCACCAGACUUUCAACCUACAAACCAAAAAUGCCCUUUCAGGAACCAUUACACUAUACAAAAAAUGUACUGAAGACUGUUGUCAGCCUGUGACACUAAGCACCCCUCUAUUCACACCCUACUGGCUAUUUUAAUGAUCUUUAUACAAAAUAUGCCCUGUGAGGUAUAAUUUGAAAGCUAAUAACUCAAUGAUCAUUAAUAAUCUUGCAUCAUGUAUGUAUGUGGUGGAUAUUAAGAAUUAUGGACCCCUAUGCAAAUUAAGCAUGGUGGAAUCAAACAAUAGAAGCCCCAUUUACAUAAAAAUCACACGGGGAUGGGAAACCCACAGGAAGAGAAGAACAGAAUGAGGUUCAAUGAACUUUGGAAGAUAUAACCAAGGACAGAAGCUGUCACUGGCAUCCAUCACUAGACAAGACACAAGGGAACAGCUCCCUUGCAAGCUGAGAAAGAUGGAUCCUUCAACCAAGGAACUGCGGCGUUGAAGUCUCUGGAAAUGAAAUAGGCGAAAAACCGGUAUAGGCAAAUAUCUUUCACUCAAGAAGACAAGGGAAACCAGCGCCCGGUACUUUGUGAAGGUCCUGACUGAGGGAAAGAUGGCCAAGGCUGGGAAGAAAAGUGAUUGGUGAGAGAAACCAUCUUGAACAAUCCUGUAUCUUGCUAGGUUAAAUUUGAGAUCUUUAGAAGCAUGUUUUGUUUUGUUUGACUUGUAACUCUUUGUAUCUUCAUUCCCUAGAACUCACUUAAUCCGAUGUACAUUUUGUUAAUUUUUUUUCAUUUUUACCACUAACCAACUCAGUGCUGCGUUUAAAGUGAAGUUAAGUUAAUAACAUGUGGUAUGGUUUUGUGUUUUUAAA